rnacentral:rRNA from 1 species
GUGUCAGCAGCCGCGCGGUAAUACGAAGGUCCCAAGCGUUGUUCGGAAUCACUGGGCGUAAAGGGAGCGUAGGCUGUGCGGUAAGUCAGAUGUGAAAUCCCGGGGCUCAACCCCGGAACUGCAUCCGAUACUGCCGUACUAGAGGAUUGGAGAGGUAGCUGGAAUUCACGGUGUAGCAGUGAAAUGCGUAGAUAUCGUGAGGAACACCAAUGGCGAAAGCAAGCUACUGGACAACUCCUGACGCUGAGGCUCGAAGGCCAGGGUAGCGAAAGGGAUUAGAUACCCCUGUAGUCCUGGCAGUAAACGGUGCGCGCUUGGUGUGAGAGGAUUCGACCCCUCUUGUGCCGGAGCUAACGCGUUAAGCGCGCCGCCUGGGAAGUACGGUCGCAAGACUAAAACUCAAAGAAAUUGACGGGGACCCGCACAAGCGGUGGAGUAUGUGGCUUAAUUCGAUGCAACGCGAAGAACCUUACCAAGGCUUGACAUGCAUCUCUAAUCGCGUGAAAGCGCGUGACCCUUCGGGGGAUUUGCACAGGUGCUGCAUGGCCGUCGUCAGCUCGUGUCGUGAGAUGUUGGGUUAAGUCCCGCAACGAGCGCAACCCCUGUGAUCAGUUGCCAGCACAUAAUGGUGGGAACUCUGGUCAGACUGCCCAGAUCAACUGGGAGGAAGGUGGGGACGACGUCAGGUCAGUAUGGCCCUCACGCCUUGGGCUGCACACGUACUACAAUGCCCAGUACAAUGAGAACCGAUACCGCGAGGUGGAGGAAAUCUACAAAACUGGGCCCAGUUCGGAUUGGAGGCUGCAACUCGCCUCCAUGAAGUCGGAAUCGCUAGUAAUGGCACAUCAGCUACGGUGCCGUGAAUACGUUCCCGGGUCUUGCACACACCGCCCGUCA